UACGCUGGCGGAAUGCUUUACACACUGCAUGUCUGAACGGCAGCACGGACUUCGGUCUGGUGGCGAUGUGGCUGAACGGGUGAGUAAUACAUCGGAACGUGCCCAGUCGUGGGCGGAUAACGUAGCGAAAGCUACGCUAAUACCGCAUACGAUCUACGGAUGAAAGCGGGGGAUCGCAAGACCUCGCGCGAUUGGAGCGGCCGAUGGCAGAUUAGGUAGUUGGUAGGGUAAAGGCCUACCAAGCCGACGAUCUGUAGCUGGUCUGAGAGGACGACCAGCCACACUGGUGACUGAGACACGGCCCAGACUCCUACGGGAGGCAGCAUGUGGGGAAUUUUGGACAAUGGGCGAAAGCCUGAUCCAGCCAUUCCGACUGUGCAGGAUGAAGGCCCUCGGGUUGUAAACUGCUUUUGUACGGAACGAAAAGGUCCUGGUUAAUACCUGGGGCUCAUGACGGUACCGUAAGAAUAAGCACCGGCUAACUACGUGCCAGCAGACCGCGGUAAUACGUAGGGUGCAAGCGUUAAUCGGAAUUACUGGGCGUAAAGCGUGCGCAGGCGGUGAUGUAAGACAGAGGUGAAAUCCCCGGGCUCAACCUGGGAACUGCCUUUGUGACUGCAUCGCUGGAGUACGGCAGAGGGGGAUGGAAUUCCGCGUGUAGCAGUGAACAUGC
rnacentral:rRNA from 1 species